GGCGGAACCUCCCCGGGCCCCGCCUCGCCGGCCCCGGCCCCGCCCGGGCUGUCAGAGCCGGCCUGUCCCGGGCAGGCUCGGGCGACCGCGGGAUGCGGCGCUGAGCGCGCUCCGCUCGCCUUCUCCGUCCGUCUGUCUGUCCGUCCAUCGCUCUCCCCGCCCGGGCUCCCGCACGCCGAGAUUCCCUCCCGCAGCCCAUGAUGUGCCUGGAAAGCGACGGCUCCUCCGGCAGCAGCCCGGUCUGCGGCGGGCGGCUCCGAGCUGGCGACGAGGAGGAGGAGGAGGACGGCGAGCGGGGCUGCUGCGGCCGGGGUGCCGAGGGCGAGGUGCAGACCCUGUCGGGCAGGAUGAACCCCCCGGCGGCCGGCAAGCACCCUGACCGCCCCGCCGCCCUCCGCAAGGCGCCGACCCUCGGCCGGGCCCGGGUAGCGGCCGCCGGCAUCCUCAGUGUGGGCAACGUGCUCAACUACCUGGACCGGUACACCGUGGCAGGUGUGUUACUAGACAUCCAGCAGCACUUUGGAGUCAAAGACAGUGGGGCUGGCUUGCUGCAGACAGUUUUUAUCUGUAGUUUCAUGGUCGCGGCGCCGAUCUUUGGUUACCUUGGUGACCGGUUCAACAGAAAGAUCAUUCUCAGCUGUGGGAUCUUCUUUUGGUCAGCUGUCACUUUUUCAAGCUCCUUCAUCACUGAACAGGUGUGCUGGCUUACAAAUGGACAAGGGCUUCUGCUCCACCAGGCUGGGAGACCACGAGUACCUGAUAAGCAGCCAGAGCAGGCUGUGGUAAUGUGGGUUGGCUGGGAGACACCAGAGCUGCACAUGCUGGAAAGCUGGGAAAUGGAAAAGCAAAGCAUUGACAAGUAUUUCUGGCUGCUUGUGCUCUCACGGGGUUUGGUUGGCAUCGGUGAAGCGAGUUAUUCUACUAUUGCACCAACCAUCAUUGGAGACCUGUUCACCAAAAACACGAGGACCCUGAUGCUGUCUGUUUUCUACUUUGCAAUUCCUCUGGGCAGUGGCUUGGGAUACAUCACCGGGUCCAGCGUGAAGCAGGUUGCUGGAGACUGGCACUGGGCACUGCGGGUAUCUCCACUCCUAGGAAUGAUAACAGGGACACUCAUCUUGAUAUUUGUGCCUGCUGCUAAAAGAGGAAAUGCUGAGCAACUUGGGGGGCAGCUGAAGGCUCGGACUUCAUGGCUGAGAGACAUGAAAGCAUUGAUUAGAAACCGCAGCUAUGUGUUCUCAUCCUUGGCCACCUCAGCUGUCUCCUUUGCCACGGGGGCACUUGGUAUGUGGAUCCCUCUGUAUCUUCACAGAGCACAGGUCGUGCAGAAGACAGCAGAGACCUGCAGCUCCCAGCCCUGUGGCACCAAAGAUAGCUUGAUCUUCGGAGCAAUCACGUGCUUCACUGGCUUCCUGGGUGUAAUCACAGGGGCAGGAGCCACCAAAUGGUGCCGGUCCAAGACGCAGCGAGCUGAUCCUCUUGUCUGUGCUGUUGGAAUGCUGGGAUCAGCCAUCUUCAUCUGUCUGAUCUUCGUGGCAGCCAAGAGCAGCAUUGUGGGAGCCUAUAUUUGCAUUUUUAUCGGAGAAACUCUUCUAUUCUCAAACUGGGCUAUCACAGCAGACAUACUAAUGUACGUGGUCAUUCCAACUCGCCGUGCAACCGCAGUGGCCUUGCAGAGUUUCACUUCACACCUCCUGGGAGAUGCUGGCAGUCCUUAUCUCAUUGGAUUUAUCUCCGACCUGAUACGACAAAGCACAAAGGAGUCGCCGGUCUGGGAGUUCCUCAGCCUGGGUUACGCGCUCAUGCUCUGCCCGUUUGUCGUUGUCCUGGGAGGGAUGUUCUUCCUGGCCACAGCCCUCUUCUUCCUCAGUGACCGAGCUAAAGCUGAGCAACAUAAAGAAACCGAUUCGGAUCAUCUCACGGUUGGCAACUACAGUAAUUCGGAAGACGCUUCCACAUGACAUACAAACUCUGGGGGUGAAUCAGCUUGUGAUGCCACCAGCCUCUGUGAAAGUCUGAGACGCUGCCAGGGAAGGCAAGGACACGUGGACUCCUGCUCCCACCAUCCCAAUCUCAGUCUGAAGCCCUUCUGUGCUGGCUGCCAGUGGAUCCUUCAGCUCCAUAUCACAGAGGGGGUCUGUGCACCAAACCCAUCCCUGCAGCCUGCGGGGUCAGGCGCCAGGAGAUGAGCAGGGCAGCCGGGAACGUGGAACACGAGGACAUUCCCGGGGCCCUGAGCAUGGAAACCAACAACAUGGACCCAGGAAAAGCUGCCCAAGUGAGCAACUGUAGAUUGUGUAAAUGGUUUUAGUUGUAACCAGUGAAGUCCACACUGUUUGUAGGGCAGCUGGUGUCCUAUGGAAUGCUGCUGCUCUGCCAGCACUCCCACAGACUGCACUAGUUGAGGACUUGUUUUGUACAUCACCUUUUCUUUGACACUGAAGGCUUGAUUCAGAUUAUUAUUUUUUAUUUAAAUAUGUUAUAAGAUGCUUUAUCUCUGCUGGAGACAUUAGAUGAGAUAUAUAUAUAUAUAUAUAUAUACUUAGAUAAAGUUUUUAUUUAAACAUUUGAAAUCUGAAGCUGCCUGUGCAACCAUAGCAGACAUGAAUAACGUCCAUAGCUCUCCUCCUCUCAGUGCCCUGGUGCCAGGGCCUGCAAGGGCACCACAGGAAAAUUUCCAGUGGGUGACCUACCUGUCACUGAGCCUGAGCAGUGGGACAGAGGAGAGAGUUUCACUGCACUGGGUAUGCCGGUGUUUGUCACAGAAAGGCCCAGAGGAACGUUGGACAGAAAUCCCUACAGGCUCUAGACUUUUCCAUAUGCUAAAUUCAGCUUUCCUAGGAGGUUAAAAAAGGUUUAAAAGCCUGUGGGCUUUUAAAAUACCAAAAUCCACCUAGCUGAAUGGCUGCACCUUGGGCCUGGGAGUGCAAUACUGCUGUGCCAGUGACCUCGUGCUUUGUUUACAUGAUGCCAUAUCACUCAGACUGUCAAUGCUAAUUCUCCCUGCCAGGAUCCCAGAGCAGGCACUGACUCUGCCCUCAGAGCAGUGCUGGGUUCCUGCACACCCAGCCUGACCUGUCACUGGGGAGCACUUGUACCUUUAAAAGGUGCCUUUGAGGGCUUUCAGACAAGGCUGGUGCCUGAGCUGGGUUAGACUCAAAUGCAGGAGCAUGUCAUGGUGCCAUUCCACUGCGGUCUUGUUUCCUGGACCUGGCCUCCACAAGCCAAAUUUGGGCUGUGUCAGCUGGAUGGGGGAAGAAGGGGAGCACAGGUCCUGAAGAGGGCCAGGCUGCCCCAGGGAGGGCAGUGCCCCAGGGAGGGCAGUGCCCCAGGGAGGGCAGUGCCCCAGCAGCCCCCAUUCCCGUGUUCUGAGCCCCCUCUCACAGUCCAGAUCUCCCCUCCAGCUCAGCACAACCUGAGCAGGUGCCAGCACCUCAUUCCUGUGCUCUUGGCUCACAAGUGACUGCACGUGGGGUCCAAGGGGGACUAAAUCAGCUCAAGAAAUGUCAGACCAGGACUAGAUGUGAGUUAAGGCUGGAGCUGCUGUCCUGGCUGUGCCAUAGCAAGGUACUGUUAGCAAAUCUGGGUUUAUCUCCCAUUCCCUGCCAGGAUGUGCUGGGACCUACAGCACAGCACUGCAGCAGAAAUGGUUCUAAUUCCAGUUGCUCACCCCAUAGCAAGUCCCUGCCCAGGCUGGGGAUUCCUAUAAUCCCAUGAGCCUUUCCUCCUCCCCAGCCCUCACAGGACUCCUCUGCAAGGGUUCUGUCACCUGAAAUUCCUUAACAAUAGCUCUAAGACUUGCCUAAAGAACCAGAGCCAGAAGUGUUCCUCUAGUGCCUGAGCAAGCAGGUGCUAGAAAUAACAAAGCAAAGCAAAUCCCAACAAUGCUUCACUUCCUACCUCGUGCCACUAUUUACACUCGGAGGGGAAACAUGGCCUGUAAUCUGGGAGCCAAACAUUUGGCUUUAAAGGCACAUGAAUUUCUGAUUCCCAUUAAGAAAUUCCUUUUUAAGCUGUUUAAAAAAAAAAAACAAAAGCAACCCAACAAUCAGUCAUUUCAUCUCAGAGACCAAAGAAGAUUAACCACAUUUUCUAAAUUGCUUUUCUGAUAGGCUCUCUGUUGUAGCAUUUAUUGUCAACAAAAUGGCACAUUUCUGCUGAGGUUCAGAGAUUAGGAAUUCUCCUUAAACUCAGUUCUCAGGAGUCAACAAUGAAAAGGGAACUGAAGUGUUCUGUAGUGUCACUGGCAGUCCUUGUUUGUGACAGAAUCCAGGCCCAGUGCUCAGUGCUGGUUUUAUCCUUUGUGCACAUGGAGGAAGUGCUGUGGAUUCUGUUUAAACAAGGACAGAGGGAAGGGAGCAAACAAAGGAGUGAGAAACGAGUCCUACCUUCACCACAGGAUCCCUGAAUCCCUGCUGCCACAUGUUCCAGGCUAAGAGAGGGAGGCUCAGGCUUCUUCAGAUCCUUGCUGCAUUCAGCAGGGUCUGUGCAAGUGUCCAGAGGCACCAGGGAGGCUCCAGCUGCCCCUCAGUUAAUCACCAGGGUUUUCUUCUACUCCACUUCAUAAAGGGGAUUUUUUUAAAGCAUUAACUCCCCCCAGCUGCUCCUGCACUGGCAGUCAGGUGGUUUGUACACACUGUGGGAAAUGAGGCAAUGGGACCUGCCCAAAGAGGCAAGAGAAUGACCCAGCAGGCAGCAAGCUGCCACCCCAGGGGCUCCUGCUGCCACCCCAGGGGCUCCUGCUGCCACCCCAGGGUGCUCCUGCUGCCACCCCAGGGUGCUCCUGCUGCCACCCCGGGGGGCUCCUGCUGCCACCCCAGGGGCUCCUGCUGCCACCACUCCAGAGUGGCUCUGCGUGGCCCCAGGAGCCUCUCCCGACAGGGUGACUGAACCCUUUAAGUGUCAGGCUGUGCUCUGGGAAGCAGAGUCCUUCCAAGCUCCACCCCAAAUGUUGUUCUCUUCUCCAUUGGCUUUAUUGUCUGGUAAACCAGCACUUACAAUCACUUUUACUACGUGAUGUACGGGAGUAUUAGUGUAUUUUCUUGUUAUACAAGGGAGGAGUAUAAAAUAGUUUUCUGAUUUCUUUCAGAAGCAAAUGACUAUUUUAUUUUUUAAGAGCAAUUGAUUGUGAAUCUCAGAGUAUAUAAAAAAAAAGAUAAGCCAAAUAUAUACCUUUAUGUAAAUUAAGAAAUAAAAGUAUUUAAAAUGUA